UGGGAAAUCUAACUGAAACACGAGAGAGCGCUUUAUUUGGCAGUGCUAAAAAAACCUGGGGACAAAUGGCUGGGCAGCAGUGGAAGUGCAGGCUGCACAAUCAAUAGGCAGAGAACUGGAUAGAGACUCCCUCCGCCGCCGGAUCGACACUCGACAGCUGAGAGACUAUUUUUUGCAAUGGUUGACUAAAUAUGGUCAGGGAAGAGAGAGGCACAAGAGAGCCUGUUUGCCUGGGAGUGCAUGUUUCAAAUGCUUAGCUGCCUAUAAAGCCGUAACAGUUUUGCUGGUGCCCCCUGAGUGGGAAAUACGGUUGGUGUCUUCUGUAGUGUGCGCGCGGGAGCCCUGACCUCGCUAGCUGACUUGACCUCUGAAGAUGGAAAGUAGCUUCAACACAGACCUGCCUACAGUUAAGCCUGGAAACAUAACCUCAAGCAAGAAAAGAUGCAGUGCAAUAUCUAAGGAACUAGAAGAAACCAAUAUUUGCCGGGGGAGGGGGGAGUCGAUUGCGCCUUUUUUUUGUGCCUCUUUUUCUUUUUUUUUUGUUUUUUUUUUGGAAGCAACUCCAACUUUUGGGGGCUCAGUUUUCAGUUUUUUGUCAUGGUAUUUUUUUUUCCUCUUUUCUUUUUCCUGUGAUUAUUUUCAUCUGACAGUGGGCUAAGUUCACCUUCCCUUGGCUUCCUAGCAUCUAUCCUUGGAGUCUUAACUUUCAGUCCAGCAGACAUAAGUUUUAUCUAUUUAAGGUGGUGAGGUACUGUAUGCACCGACAUUCACCCCCCCCUUGCCUCCCCCUCCCAUGUAACGAAGAGCUGAUUCAGCGAAUAGAGUGAGAGAGCACUCAGGAUGAGAUGGCUGCUGCUGAUGUGUCUCUAGGUCAUUACCUCUCUUCCAACUGCAAAUGCUGCAUGAUACUAAGCUUACAGGACACUUGGUGCAAACUGCACAUCAGCAUGGAAAUCUGCUAGAAGACCUGGGAGGAAGCUGAAGGUUUGACAGUGGAAUACAACUAUGAAUUUCAAGAAAACAUAUUGCAAAACUUCCAACAAUUCAACUCUCCGCUCAAACAUGAUCACUCAGAACAAACAGCAAGCGGCUGCAAAAAUCGGAGAAGCGCUUCUAAUGUCCAUGCCAUCCCAGAACAAUGAACUGUAACCGGCUUUAAGCCACCAUGCAGGUAAAUUGCAUUGUAAAGUUCAGUUAAAACAAUAAGUUUAUUUUUCACCACCAAUUAAUUGUAACAUUGCUCUUUCAAAGAAUUGCCAGCCUGAGUUUUAUCUAAUGACAGCAGUGGAAAGCAGCAAAAUAUUUUUCAGGUUCAUCUGACAGGUAGUCAAGCAACUCUACGUGUACCUGCUCAGAGUACAUACUUCUUUAUGUACCCAUAUGAACAUACAAUGCUAUGGAAUGUAAAGAAGUAUGUAUUUUUGGCAGGCACAGAACGACCAGUAAGAGGAAACUAAACAGCUGCUGGAAGAAACAGGUUUCCCUCUUGUUUGAGUGACAUUCAUGUGACAAAUUAUCUUGCUAAGGGUCAGCUGGUAUUGCCAAAAUAACCCCCUAACUUGUUAGUAGCAAACCAUAAAACAUUACAUUAAGUGACUAUAAAUGUGGGUAGAAAGAAUUGUUUACAGCUGAUAAGCACCAUAUCAGUUGUAAACUAAGAAUUCAAAACAAGGCUGGAAAUGAGCCCUUGAAAUGCACUGAUUAAGACAGCAGCAUAGCUGCAAAAUUUAUCAUCACCAGCACUCUUCACUUAAUAGAUCCUAAACUAAUCUUAAAAGCCUGAUUAUCAAAACGUUAUCUCAUUAAAAACAAGCCACUGUUUUAUUAAUCACCACCAGUUCCAUGUACUUCAGAUGGUAGCAGUUAAAAUUUACAUCUACCAUAGAAUAUUUAAUCUAAAGGUUGCAGCUAGGACACAAGUAGAAACAGCUAAGAAUUUACAACUAUAGUUUAGAGAAAAGGAGAGCAAAAACAGUUGAGUGUGAUAACUUCUGCAAUUUAAUAUGCGAGACUUAAGUUGGAAUUUUCUCCAAAUCAGCACUUAUUAUGCUCACUGAGCUCUUCGAUACAAAGUGCCAUGUCAGGUUUAUGCACAGAAAGUGACAAUACAGAGAUUUCUAGGCCACAGUCACUAGUCAGCGGAUUAAAGCUAUUGACAGAUUCCUAAACGAAAACACAAAUGAGAAAUACAACCUAGGAGGUAAGUUAUCUUAAAUGCUAUUUUCAAAUAAGCUGAAUUUAUUUUAAAUGCAAAUUUAAGAAAAUUGGCCAUGGAAAUAUGACCAAUAUUUUGAAAAAUUCAUAGCAUUCAGAAAACUAAAAGGAUUCUGCAACAGUUUCAAGUUCUAAAACCAAUAUUAAUUAAAAUACACCAGGACACAUCACCCCUAGGCAAAGACACUCAGCAUCACAUUCAGGAGUAAGGAAAAAUACAAGGAAAUACCUCCUGGCUAAUGGAUCCAGCCAUUCCUAUUCAUGACAGCAGCCUUCUAAAAGCAGUCAUUAAACAGAGUAUGACUACAACAAGUAGGCACAUUUGGCCCCGACUAAAGGUUCUAACUCUACCCCCAUGCUCACUAAAAUGUCGGGGGGGAAAGCUAAAGCACCAUUUUUAGAUGAAGAAUUGUACUUUUAAAUACUCAUAUAAUUCUCAAAUAGCUAAUUACACACAUAGCCUGCUAUUUAUAAUACCUCAAACUACAGAAUAAUUUAUAUGCAAGAAGAAACAUUAUCUUAUCAUAACUAUUUUGAGUAAAAACAUUAGUAUUUGCUUUAAAUCUAUUUCUCUCACGAGCAGAUAUUUUGUCCUGAAGACUGCAGUACCUUAACAUCUAAAUUAAAACCUGUUUUUUAGUAGGAAACAAAUGAAACUGUAGUAGCUUUUCUAAAUGGAGCAAUGCUACUGAACUCAAUCAUGCCCACAGAAGCAAUUAGUUAUUACGAACAGCUUUACAGAGGGGUUAAUUGCUAAGCAUUUACUGCUUUUCUCGAGGAGUUCCUGUCCUCACUAUCAAGGGAUUUCACUUCCACUACAUUGUCAGACCAACUUUUUAACAGCUUCAGCUUAUUUUGAAAGGGUUUUGGUAACAAUUCAUCAUGUUGUGUACUUUCUUGUCUUCUUUGUAUAACAUGGCAAUGCUAUUCCGAAACAAAAUGAAAGUGCAGAGUGAUACAAAAGUUAAAAUUAUAAGUCGACAUUGCUUCCUGUGAGUUCAUGUUAGCAAAUCUCUAAGAAUACAUAUCCAGUCACUCUGAAAUGUCACAUCCAUCACUUAGAUCAGCUGUUCAGUUUUAACCGAGCACACGUUGAACUCUGGGCAUCUGCUGACACAGUUGUAACUCAAACAUUUCAACUGUGUGACUGACAGGGAUAACAGAUGCUGACAUUAUCAAAUGCUACACGGCUUUUUUUCCACAGCCGUUUUUUGUCCCGAUAUGGCCAGUACAUGAAACUGUAUUGCCAUCCAAAAGCACACUUGAGCAGCUGUAUCGGUAAAAUAGUUCCUGUAUAACCGAUAAAAAUAGAAACUAACUUUAUAGCCAUCUUUAAUGCUUAAGUCCAAGCGACACACCUGCUACGUUUCUAUUAGGAUACAUGGUGUUGGGAAUAUAUUUACAUAAAUCUUCUCACCAGCACCAGACUACGCCACAAACAGAUGCAGGCUAUACUUGACACACUCCUUACUGCUGAAUGGCUUGAACUCAGGCUGCCCUCUUCUUCCCACUGCAGUCAAAGCUCAAAAAAAACUCGGCACAGAGCAUAAAAAAAGCUGCAUGAGCAUGCAGAAAUGUAUUAAGGGCUUUAAUUUAGAAGAAAUCAGACGGAGCUCCAGAUAAUUCUUUAACAGUGGUGUUUUCCUGGCAUGAAACGUUUUUACAUGUGCGAUCAGGGUGAAAAAAAUUAUCUAUCCUGCUACAUUAUAUAAUAAUUCCUAAAAAGUUAAUACCAACCAGUGAUAUAGUAAUGGAAUGGAAAGCACUUGACAUUUAUACUUGUGCUAACCAACUACAGCACCAAAGCAGCUGCAAAAGGGAACCUGCCAAAAAAUGGGGGGGGGGGGGGCAGGCAGGAUGAGGGGGAAGGGAACAAAAACCUCCCUACUAAGGUUUAAUACCAAGAGGCAAGGCAGUCCUACACGAGUAGAAAUUUUAAGACUGAAGUUUCUGGUCACCGCUCUAGAAUUUCAUUACUGCAGACAGAAAAAAAAAAAGUUAAACUGUGACUAUAAUUUCAUCUGAGACUUAUCCAAAGAACCUCAAGGAAAUACUUGAGGAAGGAGCAAACUUGUACAAGUUUGCUGUACAGGCCUUUCUGUUACACAGCUUCCCAUUUUGCCAUCCUCAAACUAGUGAAGUAAUUUAGAUUUGCAUUGACUAGAAACAAACCUGUAACACAGAGGAAAGCCGCAUGCUCUUUGUGAACUGUUCACGUAGUUAAAAAUACGUUACUGAAUUAUAACCUUCCUGCAUUCCAAUGCUUUGCUAAAGCUGGUAAAAUGGAACCAAAUCACCUCUUCAAUGGAUUUGGUCCCCUUCAACCAGCUGUAGCUAUGCAUUGAUCACUGCUGGAUUUCUUAUGUGUUUAAAAAUGGACACUAAGUACGCUCAGAGCAAAUAUGCAGUUCUCUCAGUAGUUGAGUUCAAUUACUCCAGGCAGCUUGAAGAUGGGAGGUAACAAGGUGCGUAGCAAAUUCUGUAUAAUAGGAAAUUCCAAGGUUGUAUUUGUAAAUAAACAGCUACUGUGUUUAAUAUUCUGCCCAUAUGCAGUGAAUGUUCAUCUCCUACAACAUGUAUAAAAGAAGAUAGGUAAGCUGUGAAAUAAACACAUUUUCCAAUGAUUUAUUGUCUCUUGCAUUUUUCCUUCAAGUCUGUUGCCCUUUGUAGCAGAAAUGACCAAUAAAGAGAUCAACAGGAAGCAAUCCUGGACAGUAUUGGUAGGGCAGGUGUGCUUUGAGGGCAGCCUUCUCUUCCUUCCAUCCCCUUCCCUCUGUUUUUUUUAAUUACACAGGGGAGGAAACUCUACAGGGUAGGAACUGUAUUUGCCAUCUUGUACACUGGGCAUAUUUACUAUUUAAAGAUAAUAAAUUUGUCAAUGACCCCAACAGCUACAGGCGAACCUGCCAUCUAAUUAUAGCUGUGCUCUCGGAGAUUAUAUUCUUUCUCCAAACCAACCUGAACAAAAGUAUUCUUUCAAAGCAUUUUAAUAUAAUGUGAUAAGUUUUAGGAAUAUGGGGUUUUUUUGCACUCAGCUUCAGCCUACACUUACUGUCAGGAUUGCAAAUAUGAAAGCAUAAAAAUCACUUUUACUGGUUCAGAAAACAACUGUACUCUGAUUACCUCAGAACUUGCCUCUUUGAGGACCUUCACAACAAAACAGCACUUAAAUCAGAGAUGCUCAUUAACACUAAUUAGAGGUAAGAAACCCCACCUUGAAAAUGAAUUGCUACAGUUAAAAAUUCCACUGCCAACCAGUUCAAGCCAUCCGCAAACCUAAAACCAAGGGCAGGUCUGUCUAAUAAGACAAUCAUGAGGAAAAAUUACAAUUCCAUUUUAAAUCAUAAUCGUGCUAGUUAAUGAACAUGAAAAUGACAGUCCUUGCUCUUGGACAGCAAUGGAUGACACCUGCAUCUUACCCCAAGACUGUAAUUUUUCAUUUGAAGCCCAGCAGAAUUUAUUACUCUGAAGAACCAGUGUUACGCAUGUGCAAAGUCAGGUCAGCUCUAAAAGCAGCCUCAUCUAUUUAAGAUGCUUGCUGCAGUGUGAAUACAGCUCUUUUCAUGAGAUACAAUCAAACCUAAAACUAACUGGGACAGCGGAUAUACAAUACGCCUACACUUCAGAGUUAUGUCUUCAGCUCAAAAAUCUGAAGUCACAGGUAUGUGAAUAGAUCAAACAUAACCAAGAGUUGAUAACACGGCAAAAAUAACCAACCUGUACAGUACUUUCAAAUUGUACUCUCCUUUUUCUGUCUGAAAAAUCUCAUUAACACUGAAGAGGAAGAGUCUGACAAGCUUUGAGGUUCACAGUACUUUGAAAAAAAGUCCAAAAUAAAUGCACUUUUAAUACAACUCAGUUAAAAAUCAUGAACAAGAAACCAUGUAUUAUAUAAAACCUUAACUUCAUCUAAAUUUUUUUUAGCUCCAUCCCCCGUGCAGAAGUUGAAAGCUACCUACAGCAUAAACUGAAUAACCUCCAUUCUAUGUUUUAAAAUCAUACAUUAGCAGGAAAAAACAGAAGUCCUGUUUCUGUACCAAUUCACAAGGCAAGAAAAGCAGCAAAUCAUUACAAGGAGAUAUAUUCCACUAGCAAUAGAAAGCUCUCCAAAACACUCUACACCUUGACUUUCAGAAAACACUGCCAAACCGUCACGGAAUAUUAACUGCUGAGACAAAUCUAAGCUAUUUGAAAAAAAUUGCUAUCUUCCUUGUAAAACUUCUGUAAUACUCAAAUGUUUAAAAUAGUAAUUUUUUUAAUAUGAAAAAUGAAACACUUCCAAAUGUUCUUCUCAGCACAGUUUGUGUGGGUUUUUAUCUUGGAGAUUUAUCUCCCUACUGUUAGUAAAGGUCAGAAUCCAAACAGAAAGCAGACUAGGUUCUGCACUGAAAAUAAAACUGGUUCCAAACACCUUUUUUUAUAUCAACUGGAAGUAAUUCUAUGGCAAUGUAGUUCACUUUAUUGUGGUAUCAACACAUUUAACACAUGCGUUUAUUUUAUUAUCAUUAAUAAGGAAGAUGGAUGUGGACUUUAUCAAUACUUAUAUAAAUAGUAUUUUACAAGUAUAGAUAUAAACACAUGCAUACAUGCUUAUAUGCACGUGACUAUAUGUUUAACUUUUAAAAUAACAUUUAUAAAGUAACACAAUAUAUCUAUAUUCCCCUUAAAGUCAUUUUUAUCUUUAACCUGCAGGUGAAUUCAGUGCAUUGCAUUCAGGCACCUCAGCCUGAAGCCACAAACUAUCCAGGAAAGCUUAGAUCAGGAGAGAUAGGUCUUUUAAGUAAGGUUUCAAGCAGAAUAUAUUAUGUACUGCUUGUGACCUAUACCAGCUACAAGCUAAAGUUCAGGGGGCUAUUUUUAACAGUGUCUUAAAUAGGUUGCACUCAGCGCAUUUAACAGAUUAGAAAAACAAAGAGGCAAAUACAAAACUUUUGGUUUCAUUCAGAAACAGGCCAGUGGUAGAAGUACAGAAUCAACAAUUAUAACGACCAUCACUGAAGUCUUGAAGAAAAUACAACUUAACUCCUAAAUGAAUAAAACUAUUAUAAUGAUUUGGCGGGGGGAGAACUACAUUUUUUUCAAAAUACAUUUCUUUUUAUUUCAUUUUCAUUAAUUCCUUCCCAGGUUGAUGUAUAAAAUAACUAAUCCCAUGCACAAAUGAGACUACUACUUCAGUGAGGGAGACAACAUGCUCUCCUUUUACACGCUUCAGACAUGUUCAGAAUAUAAGCCCAACCAAGAAAGUAGAUACCUAACAGCUUUACAUGUCUAACUGGUUUAGAUGCAAGUGAAACCUCAUGUAUAGGGAGAACCUAUACAGGGUUCAAAUCAUUAAUACAAGAAAUAUUCUCCUAUUCUUCCAAUAAAAACUUUUGUAAAGGAGAGAGGAUUCUGGGAAAAAUUGCACUACGCCUCACUUCCUACCAAGCAUCAAACUGACCCAGUCUUAACUAUGGUUUGGAUCUCUCCAAAGAAAAAAAACUUGCCACUCCCAAAACACCCACCCACAGACAAAAACUUCAGCAUUCCCAUGGAGAGCAUUUUUUUCCAUACACUUUCCCUGCAUCUGCUAUUGGGAUCAAGAUUACACAAACCAACUAACACAAGCAUCACAGAACAAAAACCUAACAAGAAAUAUCCCACCUCAGUAACUGAAGACAGGAAACAGAAUUCCUGGCUAAUGCUGUUAUGUACACACAGAGAAUUCACAUUAGGUAAAGAAGCUACCAAGUCAGACUCAAGAGAAUUUUCUUCUGAAUGCCAAAAAUAAGCUCCCUUCACUAGGCCCUUAACAUGUUCCCUUACAGACCUUUUUACAAGCACCACAGAAAAUAGUAAACACAUUUAUUGUUCCUACCAACGCUUUCAACCACUACUUUUUCCUUUGAAUUGUGAUUCCAUAUACAUAUAUCAAUACUUAUGUUUACUUUUUAACUACCAGACUUGAUAGCGAUGUUCUAAGAGACUAAGCCAGAUUUCAUUUCCAUAUAUCAAUAUAGAGCCUUAUUAGUUCAACCUCACUCAACUGAAAAGCAGGAUUUAGUAAAGUUAAACAAGUAAAUAAACCCAUUUCUUGUUUUAUGUAACCUAUACCGAAUUCUCCGCCAUAUGAUAAAAUACUAUUGAAGUCUUGCCAGAAGGACAGCUCCGAAGAAUACCAUUUAUCCACAACGUAAUAAGCAAGAACAACGCAGCAAGUCUUCUGUUAAGUUCUAUCUAGGCAAUACAGCUUCACAUACAAGAAUUCCUUAAAAACUCAAAUCCCUUUCCCAAUUCCAAUAUUCAAGAAGGGAAACUUUUUUACAAAUCCUAUCUUAAGACCUUAAUUAAGAACUCACUCAUUGAAACGUUUAUUGGCAAAAUUUUACAGCCACAACAGGAAAUUUCUUUGGGAUUUGGAGUUAUCCGAAGCCAGCCUUAAACUGAGCAGACUAGUAGGUUCACUCUAAUAACAUCUUCCCAAGUAUUAAAAAUUUGCAUACCUAAGCAACAUCAAAAUUUAAGAAAUAUACUUGCAGAAUCACAGAAUAGUUUAGGUCAGAAAACAUCUUUAAGAUCAUAGAGCCCAAUUGUAAAAUUACAUGCAGUUUUAAGGUUCUUUUGAAAGAAUUCCAUAGUUCUACCCCCCCAUGCACUUGUUUUCCUUUUACAAAUGAUAAAAUAAUCUUUAAAACCAAAU